GGCCAUAUGUUGAAACACCGGUUCUAAUCUGAUCACCAAAGUUAAGCAAUGUCGAGCCUAGUUAGUAUCUAGAUGAGUGACCACUUGAGAAUACAAGAUGC